rnacentral:rRNA from 1 species
AGUGAACGCUGGCGGUAGGCCUAACACAUGCAAGUCGAACGGCAGCACAGUAAGAGCUUGCUCUUACGGGUGGCGAGUGGCGGACGGGUGAGGAAUACAUCGGAAUCUACUUUUUCGUGGGGGAUAACGUAGGGAAACUUACGCUCAUACCGCAUACGACCUACGGGUGAAAGCAGGGGAGCUUCGGACCUUGCGCGAGUGAAUGAGCCGAUGUCGGAUUAGCUAGUUGGCGGGGUAAAGGCCCACCAAGGCGACGAUCCGUAGCUGGUCUGAGAGGAUGAUCAGCCACACUGGAACUGAGACACGGUCCAGACUCCUACGGGAGGCAGCAGUGGGGAAUAUUGGACAAUGGGCGCAAGCCUGAUCCAGCCAUACCGCGUGGGUGAAGAAGGCCUUCGGGUUGUAAAGCCCUUUUGUUGGGAAAGAAAAGCAGCAGGUUAAUACCCCGCUGUUCUGACGGUACCCAAAGAAUAAGCACCGGCUAACUUCGUG